GCUUACGACCACACCGGCCUGAGUACGCCUGAUCUCGUCUGAUCUCGGAAGCUAAGCAGGGUCGGGCCUGGUUAGUACUUGGAUGGGAGACUUCCUGGGAAUACCAGGUGAAAUGUAAGCU
ensembl:rRNA 5S_rRNA 5S ribosomal RNA